UCAUUGUAAUGCCAGGGUUGUGAUGGCUGUUAGGCUAAUCUAGUUUAAAUUCAGGGAUUUGAGGCGUACUUACUUAGUACUAGCUUUACGUAAAAGUUAAGAUUCAUUUUGUUUCGUGUAUUUCGGGUUAGGUUUUAUAUAGCGACAAUAACGGUAUAGUAAAAACAUACACUAGAGUUAGAUAUGAAAUGAAACCAGUUGAUAUGUUGGCGUCUUUAGAGACAGUCAAGUUUUGUUAAUCAAGGAGUUUUGGACUUAUUUGGUUACUACAUUGAAGAAUUUCAUUUAUUACCGGAUGAAAUGUUUGAAUCGUCAACACUCUCUUGAUCAGCUCAUUGUUGGCCUUUCGCCUGUAUUGGAGUUGGUUAUCUGGAAGUAGUUGUGACUUCCGCCUGAACAGUGUCAACACUUAACUCAAGACACAUGAAGGCGGUGUCCAACAAGUCUCGAUCAUAAGCUUGUUUCUAAAGAUCUAGAUCUUGAUCUAGUAAAUCUUCACAAAUACAGAGCUUGCUUUAGGGAUAGCAAAUCUAGACCUAGAACAUCCGCUUAAUGUUUUGUACAUGCUUCGGAUGUGCCUUCACAUUUGAAUGGUCCAAACCUCCCGCAAGACGACGGGGGGAGGCUACAGGCUGAGUUUGAACCCGGGAUAAUCGAGACCACCGAAUGACAGUCCUGAUUGCAUUCAUCUAGAUCCUUACUGUCAGUGUAAUGUGUUGAAUAAAAGAAAUGGACUCUCCAAGCGAUACUUUAAACAAAAAUACCCUGGAACCAGGUGAUCUAUGUGGACAGAUCUGAUUCUUUGGCCAACGAAACAACCAACCGCCUAUACUUGCCCCAACGUAUUUCAGGUACCCAUUAAAGCUUGGUGGAUUUAAUGGCGUCCUAAAAAUUUCACUCACCAACAAGAUUCGAAAUCGAGCCCUCCGUACGAAAAAUCAAGCGCUAACACUCGUCCAAAACGUUCCUAAAAGACCAUGAAAGCUUAUUAUUGAUAUGCUGCUUUAAAUGUGAUAUUUUAGAAAUAGAUGAAUGGAGCAGUUUCUUCCCUUUCUUUCUGAACGGAAAUUCACAUAUUAUUUCCACGUCAUCAGCUACCUACAGAGGUGAUUUCCAAAGUGGUGUACGCGUACUCCCAGUGAUACGGAAGGACUUUGGAGGUGGUCGUGGUACGCAUUGCAACUC